rnacentral:rRNA from 1 species
AGCGAACGCUGGCGGCAGGCCUAACACAUGCAAGUCGAACGAACUCUUCGGAGUUAGUGGCGGACGGGUGAGUAACACGUGGGAACGUGCCUUUUGGUUCGGAAUAACUCAGGGAAACUUGUGCUAAUACCGAAUGUGCCCUUCGGGGGAAAGAUUUAUCGCCAUUAGAGCGGCCCGCGUCUGAUUAGCUAGUUGGUGAGGUAACGGCUCACCAAGGCGACGAUCAGUAGCUGGUCUGAGAGGAUGACCAGCCACACUGGGACUGAGACACGGCCCAGACUCCUACGGGGGGCAGGAGUGGGGAUUUUUGCGCAAUGGGCGAAAGCCUGACGCACCCUUGCCGCGUGAAUGAGGAAGGUUUUAGGAUUGUAAAAUUCUUUCCCCGGGGACGAUAAUGCCGGUACCCGGAGAAGAAGCCCCGGCUAACUUCGU